rnacentral:lncRNA from 1 species
AUAAGUCGUAGUGAGUGCAAAUUAAGCAACCUGAUAGUUGCCAAGGAUCCUGCCUUUUCUGUGUGACAAAGGAACUCCAUGCCAAAGCCAGGAAGAAACCUCUGUGGUGAAAUCAGAUGAAGUAAAGAUGAAUGAAAACAUUAAGAAGAGCCAUCUGAACAGAGAAGAUGAAAAACAAUUGGAAAGGAGAAAGGGAACAAAGGAUGACAACAUUUGACGAUCAAGGACCCUCACUAAGUUAGUUACACAGGAGGUGGAUCUCAGCUCUCUAGAGGCCCAGAAUAAUGUUGUACCCUCUUGACCAAGUCAAAAACUUAGCAUAAUCACAUAAGACCGGCUCAUCAACUGGGAAAAAAACACUGUUGAAUUCCAAGAGGAUUCUCUGUUUUAAAACAAUUGAGAAAUUGGACAAUAAUUUGUACCUGCAAAGAAAAAAAGACAUUUUAAAAGGGAUUGAUUAAACAGUGCCACUUUUUCUUCCCUUGCAUGCAGGUAUCUUGGUCUUGCAGCUAGUCUUCUGCUGAAGGGGAAAUCAAUGACUCCAUAUAAGGGUUUAGCUCAUAUAAUGUAUUGAUAUUUUAUAUGUCAGUUUUUUAACAGAACUGAUCAAAUCAGAAUUUGGACAAUUCCAAUUUCAGAAACUUCAACCCACUUCACUGUAUGCAAUUCUGUGUUAAGUUAGAAAAGCUAUGAUGGAAAAAACCCUUCCUGAGCUGUUUGCCACAGCUCCCCACAAAGGAACUGCAGCAAAGAUCUAAGGAUGAUGCAGCAUUUCUAAAAAGAGAAACUUGCCACUACUCCAGUGGUGUUGGCAACUCCUGAGGUUGUGUGUGAGUGCCAUCUGCUGACCCCUGUCAUGGGAAAACAAAGCAAAACCCACUGAUCUCACUGUUCCUCUAGGUCUGCAAAUGUUCCCCACCAUAUUGAGAGCAAACCUGUUAACCUUCCCCAUAAUGCAAUACAUUCUCUAAGGCAGCUGUUUUCUCCAGCUAUUCCCACUUAUUGUCUACCCCUAAGAGCUCAUAAUUG